GCGCCGUUAGCUCAAUCGGCAGAGCAGGGGCCUUUUAAGCCCAAGGUUACAGGUUCGAUUCCUGUACGGCGCA
rnacentral:tRNA from 1 species